rnacentral:rRNA from 1 species
GACGAACGCUGGCGGCGUGCCUAACACAUGCAAGUCGAACGGAGUUAAGACUUCGGUUUUAACUUAGUGGCGAACGGGUGAGUAACGCGUGAGAAACCUGCCUUUCAGUGGGGGACAACAGUUGGAAACGACUGCUAAUACCGCAUGAAACUGUAGCACCGCAUGGUGCAUCAGUCAAAGCUUUAUGUGCUGAAAGAUGGUCUCGCGUCUGAUUAGCUAGUUGGUGGGGUAACGGCCCACCAAGGCGACGAUCAGUAGCCGGUCUGAGAGGAUGAACGGCCACAUUGGGACUGAGAUACGGCCCAG